AGGACGUUGAUAGGCAUGGUGUGUAAGCGUUGUGAGGCGUUGAGCUAACAUGUACUAAUGACUCGAGAGGCUUAACCAUACAACCCAGAUGGGUUUU
rnacentral:rRNA from 1 species